GACAGAGGUGCCGAGCGUUAGGCGGAAUCACUGGGCUUAAAGCGUGUGUAGGCGGACCUGUAAGUACCUUGUGAAAUCCCACGGCUCAACCGUGGAACUGCUGGGUAUACUGCGGGUCUUGAGCCACCUAGGGGCGAGCGGAACAAGUGGUGGAGCGGUGAAAUGCGUAGAUAUCGUUUGGAACGCCAAUGGUGAAAACAGGUCGCUGGGGAUGAGCUGACGCUGAGACACGAAAGCCAGGGGAGCAAACGGG
rnacentral:rRNA from 1 species